rnacentral:rRNA from 1 species
ACGUGCUAAUCUGCGAUAAGCGUCGGUGAGGUGAUAUGAACCGUUAUAACCGGCGAUUUCCGAAUGGGGAAACCCAGUGUGUUUCGACACACUAUCAUUAACUGAAUCCAUAGGUUAAUGAGGCGAACCGGGGGAACUGAAACAUCUAAGUACCCCGAGGAAAAGAAAUCAACCGAGAUUCCCCCAGUAGCGGCGAGCGAACGGGGAGGAGCCCAGAGCCUGAAUCAGUGUGUGUGUUAGUGGAAGCGUCUGGAAAGGCGCGCGAUACAGGGUGACAGCCCCGUACACAAAAAUGCACAUAUUGUGAGCUCGAUGAGUAGGGCGGGACACGUGGUAUCCUGUCUGAAUAUGGGGGGACCAUCCUCCAAGGCUAAAUACUCCUGACUGACCGAUAGUGAACCAGUACCGUGAGGGAAAGGCGAAAAGAACCCCGGCGAGGGGAGUGAAAAAGAACCUGAAACCGUGUACGUACAAGCAGUGGGAGCCUCUUUAUGGGGUGACUGCGUACCUUUUGUAUAAUGGGUCAGCGACUUAUAUUCUGUAGCAAGGUUAACCGAAUAGGGGAGCCGAAGGGAAACCGAGUCUUAACUGGGCGUUAAGUUGCAGGGUAUAGACCCGAAACCCGGUGAUCUAGCCAUGGGCAGGUUGAAGGUUGGGUAACACUAACUGGAGGACCGAACCGACUAAUGUUGAAAAAUUAGCGGAUGACUUGUGGCUGGGGGUGAAAGGCCAAUCAAACCGGGAGAUAGCUGGUUCUCCCCGAAAGCUAUUUAGGUAGCGCCUCGUGAAUUCAUCUCCGGGGGUAGAGCACUGUUUCGGCAAGGGGGUCAUCCCGACUUACCAACCCGAUGCAAACUGCGAAUACCGGAGAAUGUUAUCACGGGAGACACACGGCGGGUGCUAACGUCCGUCGUGAAGAGGGAAACAACCCAGACCGCCAGCUAAGGUCCCAAAGUCAUGGUUAAGUGGGAAACGAUGUGGGAAGGCCCAGACAGCCAGGAUGUUGGCUUAGAAGCAGCCAUCAUUUAAAGAAAGCGUAAUAGCUCACUGGUCGAGUCGGCCUGCGCGGAAGAUGUAACGGGGCUAAACCAUGCACCGAAGCUGCGGCAGCGACACUAUGUGUUGUUGGGUAGGGGAGCGUUCUGUAAGCCUGUGAAGGUGGCCUGUGAGGGUUGCUGGAGGUAUCAGAAGUGCGAAUGCUGACAUAAGUAACGAUAAAGCGGGUGAAAAGCCCGCUCGCCGGAAGACCAAGGGUUCCUGUCCAACGUUAAUCGGGGCAGGGUGAGUCGACCCCUAAGGCGAGGCCGAAAGGCGUAGUCGAUGGGAAACAGGUUAAUAUUCCUGUACUUGGUGUUACUGCGAAGGGGGGACGGAGAAGGCUAUGUUGGCCGGGCGACGGUUGUCCCGGUUUAAGCGUGUAGGCUGGUUUUCCAGGCAAAUCCGGAAAACCAAGGCUGAGGCGUGAUGACGAGGCACUACGGUGCUGAAGCGACAAAUGCCCUGCUUCCAGGAAAAGCCUCUAAGCAUCAGGUAACAUCAAAUCGUACCCCAAACCGACACAGGUGGUCAGGUAGAGAAUACCAAGGCGCUUGAGAGAACUCGGGUGAAGGAACUAGGCAAAAUGGUGCCGUAACUUCGGGAGAAGGCACGCUGAUAUGUAGGUGAAGCGACUUGCUCGUGGAGCUGAAAUCAGUCGAAGAUACCAGCUGGCUGCAACUGUUUAUUAAAAACACAGCACUGUGCAAACACGAAAGUGGACGUAUACGGUGUGACGCCUGCCCGGUGCCGGAAGGUUAAUUGAUGGGGUUAGCGGUAACGCGAAGCUCUUGAUCGAAGCCCCGGUAAACGGCGGCCGUAACUAUAACGGUCCUAAGGUAGCGAAAUUCCUUGUCGGGUAAGUUCCGACCUGCACGAAUGGCGUAAUGAUGGCCAGGCUGUCUCCACCCGAGACUCAGUGAAAUUGAACUCGCUGUGAAGAUGCAGUGUACCCGCGGCAAGACGGAAAGACCCCGUGAACCUUUACUAUAGCUUGACACUGAACAUUGAGCCUUGAUGUGUAGGAUAGGUGGGAGGCUUUGAAGUGUGGACGCCAGUCUGCAUGGAGCCGACCUUGAAAUACCACCCUUUAAUGUUUGAUGUUCUAACGUUGGCCCGUAAUCCGGGUUGCGGACAGUGUCUGGUGGGUAGUUUGACUGGGGCGGUCUCCUCCUAAAGAGUAACGGAGGAGCACGAAGGUUGGCUAAUCCUGGUCGGACAUCAGGAGGUUAGUGCAAUGGCAUAAGCCAGCUUGACUGCGAGCGUGACGGCGCGAGCAGGUGCGAAAGCAGGUCAUAGUGAUCCGGUGGUUCUGAAUGGAAGGGCCAUCGCUCAACGGAUAAAAGGUACUCCGGGGAUAACAGGCUGAUACCGCCCAAGAGUUCAUAUCGACGGCGGUGUUUGGCACCUCGAUGUCGGCUCAUCACAUCCUGGGGCUGAAGUAGGUCCCAAGGGUAUGGCUGUUCGCCAUUUAAAGUGGUACGCGAGCUGGGUUUAGAACGUCGUGAGACAGUUCGGUCCCUAUCUGCCGUGGGCGCUGGAGAACUGAGGGGGGCUGCUCCUAGUACGAGAGGACCGGAGUGGACGCAUCACUG